rnacentral:rRNA from 1 species
GGUUAAUGAGGCGAACCGGGGGAACUGAAACAUCUAAGUACCCCGAGGAAAAGAAAUCAACCGAGAUUCCCCCAGUAGCGGCGAGCGAACGGGGAGGAGCCCAGAGCCUGAAUCAGCAUGUGUGUUAGUGGAAGCGUCUGGAAAGGCGCGCGAUACAGGGUGACAGCCCCGUACACAAAAGCGCAUGUGCUGUGAGCUCGAUGAGUAGGGCGGGACACGUGGUAUCCUGUCUGAAUAUGGGGGGACCAUCCUCCAAGGCUAAAUACUCCUGACUGACCGAUAGUGAACCAGUACCGUGAGGGAAAGGCGAAAAGAACCCCGGCGAGGGGAGUGAAAAAGAACCUGAAACCGU